rnacentral:rRNA from 1 species
UACGUGAGGGGCAAGCGUUGUCCGGAUUUAUUGGGCGUAAAGAGCGUGUAGGCGGUUUGGUAGGUCCGCUGUGAAAACUCGAGCUCAACCUCGAGACGCCGGUGGAAACCAUCAGACUAGAGUCCGGAAGAGGAGAGUGGAAUUCCUGGUGUAGCGGUGAAAUGCGCAGAUAUCAGGAAGAACACCAAUAGCGAAGGCAGCUCGCUGGGACGGUACUGACGCUAAGGCGCGAAAGCGUGGGGAGCGAACAGG